ACGCUCGACACCUACGGGAGCAGCAGUGGGGAAUAUUGCACAAUGGAGGAAACUCUGAUGCAGCGAUGCCGCGUGAGGGAAGAAGGUUUUCGGAUUGUAAACCUCUGUCUUUGGGGACGAUAAUGACGGUACCCAAGGAGGAAGCUCCGGCUAACUACGUGCCGNAGCCGCGGUAAUCUGAGCGGGCGUGGCGAAGGC
rnacentral:rRNA from 1 species